rnacentral:rRNA from 1 species
UGGGGAAUAUUGGACAAUGGGGGAAACCCUGAUCCAGCCAUGCCGCGUGAGUGAUGAAGGCCUUAGGGUUGUAAAGCUCUUUCACCCACGACGAUGAUGACGGUAGUGGGAGAAGAAGCCCCGGCUAACUUCGUGCCAGCAGCCGCGGUAAUACGAAGGGGGCUAGCGUUGUUCGGAAUUACUGGGCGUAAAGCGCACGCAGGCGGUGGUCAUAGUCAGAAGUGAAAGCCCUGGGCUCAACCCGGGAAUUGCUUUUGAUACUGGACCGCUAGAAUCACGGAGAGGGUAGUGGAAUUCCGAGUGUAGAGGUGAAAUUCGUAGAUAUUCGGAAGAACACCAGUGGCGAAGGCGACUACCUGGCCGUCGAUUGACGCUCAUGUGCGAAAGCGUGGGGAGCAAA